rnacentral:pre_miRNA from 1 species
UAAUUCUUCGUCUUAUUUGAACUUUUUUGCGAUUAAUUUUUUUAUUGUUACUAGAUGAUAAAAUAUAAAUAGUACUUUAUACAUGACUAAUUUUUUUAAGUUUUUGAAGAAAUUUUUCAAAUAAGACGAAUGAUCACACGGAAAAAC